AAAGAAGCUGAAAUCGCAUCCAUAAAGUGGUUGCGCAUGAGUCUACUGUAACUUAUUCGAGCUAUUCUUGUAUGCGACAUGAAGGCGCUGCAAUGUAUUUUGCUACUCAGCAUUCUGACGACUGUUAUGUGCGCCAUCUGGGAUCACAAGAAAUGCCUUGCAUUUUGCCGACCCAGUAGCGGCAACAGCAGCACUUGCGGGACUGGUUGCAAGUGCCACGGUUUUCGUUACAUGCCAAUGAUUGGAGGCUGCCUUGACAACUCCCUUUCAGUUCCCUGGAUGUUCCGUCCAAUGCGAAGGAUUUUGGGAAAAUAGCUACAUAUUUCUAGUCACCCUGGCAUUGAAAA